GGAAAAUGGUGGACAUGGGGGAGAGUUUGUUGCAAAGACAGAAAACAGUUUAAUGAUGCUAGGGGUGUGGGGAAAUUGGUGGUCAAGGUGGAGAGUUUGGUCCCUAGAGGAAGACAGCCGGGAAUAAAGGGAGUGGUGUAUGGGAUGUAUGAUGGCUUGUCUGAGAAGGAGAUCUUAGAAAAUGUUAAGGGGGCCCAGGUAACUGAUGUUGUGAGAUUUAAGAGUAGGAAUGGAGUCAG